rnacentral:rRNA from 1 species
CCUACGGGGGGCAGCAGUGGGGAAUAUUGCACAAUGGGGGAAACCCUGAUGCAGCGACGCCGCGUGAGUGAAGAAGUAUUUCGGUACGUAAAGCGCUAUCAGCAGGGAAGAAAAUGACGGUACCUGACUAAGAAGCCCCGGCUAACUACGUGCCAGCAGCCGCGGUAAUACGUAGGGGGCAAGCGUUAUCCGGAUUUACUGGGUGUAAAGGGAGGGUAGACGGCAGCGCAAGUCUGGAGUGAAAUCCCAUGGCUUAACCAUGGAACUGCUUUGGAAACUGUGCAGCUAGAGUGCAGGAGAGGUAAGCGGAAUUCCUAGUGUAGCGGUGAAAUGCGUAGAUAUUAGGAGGAACACCAGUGGCGAAGGCGGCUUACUGGACUGUAACUGACGUUGAGGCUCGAAAGCGUGGGGAGCAAACAGGAUUAGAUACCCCUGUAGUC